GAUGAACGCUGGCGGCGUGCUUAACACAUGCAAGUCGAACGAUGAAGCCCAGCUUGCUGGGUGGAUUAGUGGCGAACGGGUGAGUAACACGUGAGUAACCUGCCCUUAACUCUGGGAUAAGCCUGGGAAACUGGGUCUAAUACCGGAUAGGAGCGUCCACCGCAUGGUGGGUGUUGGAAAGAUUUAUCGGUUUUGGAUGGACUCGCGGCCUAUCAGCUUGUUGGUGAGGUAAUGGCUCACCAAGGCGACGACGGGUAGCCGGCCUGAGAGGGUGACCGGCCACACGGGGACUGAGACACGGCCCAGACUCCUCCGGGAGGCAGCAGUGGGGAAUAUUGCACAAUGGGCGCAAGCCUGAUGCAGCGACGCCGCGUGAGGGAUGACGGCCUUCGGGUUGUAAACCUCUUUCAGUAGGGAAGAAGCGAAAGUGACGGUACCUGCAGAAGAAGCACCGGCUAACUACGUG
rnacentral:rRNA from 1 species